UACGUAGGGGCCGAGCGUUGUCCGGAGUUAUUGGGCGUAAAGCGCGCGCAGGCGGCCUCGCGCGCCCGACGUGAAAGCCCCCGGCUUAACCGGGGAGGGUCGUUGGGGACGGGCGGGGCUUGAGGGCGGGAGAGGUCGGUGGAAUUCCCGGUGUAGUGGUGAAAUGCGUAGAUAUUGGGAGGAACACCAGUGGCGAAGGCGGCCCUUCUGGACAGUGACUGACGCUGGGAGCGAAACGUGGGG
rnacentral:rRNA from 1 species